rnacentral:lncRNA from 1 species
UGAAUGCGCAUUCAGCCGACGGGGAGGAGAAGAGGAGGAUCGGAGGAGGAGAGCUCCCCGCCCAGCGCUGGAAAAAGGUAAGUUUUAACCCCUUUCCCCCUUCCAGAGCCGGGUGGGGGCACCCUCAGGGCACUAUAGUGCCAGGAAAACAAGUAUGUUUGCCUGGCACUAUAGUGGUCCUUUAAUGUUUGCAGUGGUGCAAUAUGUAGUAAAGACAAGUUACAUUAUCUCUACAUCAUUUGUGGGUAAUGGUCGCAAAAUAGAGCAUUGGUCUCUUAAUAAACAUACCCGAAGCCACUGACCAAGAUAACAUCUCCAUGGGGGCUGCUGAGCCCUACUGCCAGACACCUGCAUGUGUGUUCCCACCGUCAGGUACUCCCAUACUACCAGGCACACACAUCAAUUUCCAUACAGUCAUGAAGCCACAAAUGUAAAGUCCCACAUUCAUGAGUGUGCUCUGGACUAGAAAAUAUCCCUGGGAUGGGUGGCCAAAGGCUCCAUUAAUCUUUUUAUGGGGCAGUACUUUGAGAUCCCUGGCCCAAAGCAAUCCUUUUACGAUUAUUGCAUAUGCACACUGUUUCAGCUUGCUGAAGUGCUGUAUGUGUAAAGAGUGUUUCCUCUUAAUUUUAUAAAAAGUGUAGAUUUCCAUAGAAACUGUUACUUUAAUAAAUGACCAUUGUUAAACCCAUGGCUAUUAAUCAAACUAGUCCUGUUAUUUCCUGGUCGUUUCCCUCCGUAAAGCUAGACUCAAGGGGCAGGCAAUUGCUCAGAGCACCUGUCUUAGGAAGACGUCUCUUUGAGCUGCAUUGGAAGGUCGUAAGUGGGCAGCCUAGUCUGCGGGGAAAAGGGUGAGGGACGCUUUUGCAAGCUGUUUUUAGACAUACCCAUAAUGAAAAAAGCGCAGUUUAAUGUGUGAAUGUUUUCUUUUACUAAAUAGUACAUUUUAAAAAUGUAUAUUUAUGGGUAGUAGAGUGUCCCUUUAACUCCCAACGUAUAGGUGUGAAUGUGGAGAGCUAGAGAGCCAUAACUGCUUUUCUUUGCUAGUUAACAUAAAAUUAAGUUAAGGUGGCAUCCACUACACCAUAGGCAAGUACGUUUUACCCGCCGAGUAUAUUUCAACACAGCAAGCAUUCAAUAGUGUUUCCAGGGGUUAAUGAAAAGUAACUCAGAAGAAAAAUACUUUUUUUUUUUUAUUAGUAGAAAUAAAUUGACAUUGAAGUUACUAUGAAACCCACGUUCAUGUAUUAUAUGGAAAUUACAACUUGCACAGUAAAUUAGUUUCCUACCAUCUGUUCGCCAUUCCCUCCACCAGUCCAUGUUCACAAAGUAAAGACAAGCACCUGUACUCAAAAGAUCUGCUUUAUUGAGGAAGCUUACAAAUAGACGGUAGAAAGUAUUACUCUUAUAUUUAUACUUGUAGAUUACGAAUUUCAGAAGAAAGACUCUCUUGGACGUUAAAUCUGCUGUGAUACAUUUAUUUAUUACUUAGAGUAAGUUAUCUGUGAGCAUUUGAUAGCUUUGUACAGUGUACCUUGCUUUAACCUUUAGCACUCUUCAUAGAAAAUUCUUUCAAUGUAUCAGAUGUACCGUAUAAAGGUAGUGGAACCAAAAGUCCCAUUCGAAGCCUUCAUCUGAUGCAGACUAUUGGUGACCAUGUUGAUUUGUAAACAGUUGAGCUGGCUUCACAUGAAGGCAUUAAUGUGCAAAUUAAUGGGCUUUUGUAGUCUUUGUCAUUGACACAAGUGAAUAGUGGAGGCGUUUGUGUCAUUAUUAAAGUGCUCUGAUGUUCAAAACUAUUUCUCCAAAUAUGCAGUGCUUUAUGUUCAGGUUGGACAACAUAUCUUCUUGUUUUCAGAAAUCAUGUCCUUGCAAGGUAGCUGUGAAAUCUGCUCAUGGUGUUUUUUAUUUCUCUUAAAUACGCUGUUAAGUAAUCUGGAGGAUGAUGUAAUCCCCGCCUUAUACACAAUUUAAAAGCUUUCUAAAUAUUUUACAAUAAUUUUUUUGAUUUGUAUUGUCACUAAGUUACUAAGAAUCUGUAAUAAAGACCAGCAUUCCAAA